UACGGAGGGUGCGAGCGUUGUCCGGAAUCAUUGGGCGUAAAGGGCGCGUAGGUGGCCCGGUCAGCGUGCGGUGAAAGCUCGGGGCUCAACCCCGAGUCGGCCGUGCGAACUGCUGGGCUGGAGCACUGUAGAGGCGGGCGGAAUUCCGGGUGUAGCGGUGAAAUGCGUAGAUAUCUGGAGGAACACCGGUGGGCGAAGGCGG
rnacentral:rRNA from 1 species